GCCAUGCUUUUCCACAGCUUUCUUGAACUUUCUCUGCUCUUCCCUUCUUCUCACAAUCAAUUUUGUAAGUAAAAUCUCUCUUAGAUUUUACCCAAAAGUUAAAUUUAAAAAAAAAAAAAAAAAGAACUUUGGAAGUUCAAGAAAGCUGUGGGAGAACAUGGCA